GUGGGGAAUCUUCCGCAAUGGACGAAAGUCUGACGGAGCAACGCCGCGUGAACGAUGACGGCCUUCGGGUUGUAAAGUUCUGUUAUACGGGACGAAUGGUACGACGGCCAAUACCCGUCGUAAGUGACGGUACCGUAAGAGAAAGCCACGGCUAACUACGUGCCAGCAGCCGCGGUAAUACGUAGGUGGCAAGCGUUGUCCGGAAUUAUUGGGCGUAAAGGGCGCGCAAGCGGCGUCGUAAGUCGGUCUUAAAAGUGCGGGGCUUAACCCCGUGAGGGGACCGAAACUGCGAUGCUAGAGUAUCGGAGAGGAAAGCGGAAUUCCUAGUGUAGCGGUGAAAUGCGUAGAUAUUAGGAGGAACACCAGUGGCGAAAGCGGCUUUCUGGACGACAACUGACGCUGAGGCGCGAAAGCCAGGGGAGCAAACGGGAUUAGAAACCCGUGUAGUCC
rnacentral:rRNA from 1 species